AGAGUUUGAUCCUGGCUCAGGAUGAACGCUAGCGAUAGGCUUAACACAUGCAAGUCGAGGGGCAGCAUGGUCUUAGCUUGCUAAGACUGAUGGCGACCGGCGCACGGGUGCGUAACGCGUAUGCAACUUGCCUCACAGAGGGGGAUAACCCGUCGAAAGACGGACUAAUACCGCGUACACUCCAUCUUGGGCAUCCAAGGCGGAGGAAAUGAAAUUCGCUGUGAGAUAGGCAUGCGUCCCAUUAGCUAGUUGGUGAGGUAACGGCUCACCAAGGCGACGAUGGGUAGGGGAACUGAGAGGUUGAACCCCCACACUGGUACUGAGACACGGACCAGACUCCUACGGGAGGCAGCAGUGAGGAAUAUUGGUCAAUGGGCGAGAGCCUGAACCAGCCAAGUCGCGUGAAGGAUGACUGUCUUAUGGAUUGUAAACUUCUUUUAUACGGGAAUAACAAGAGUCACGUGUGGCUCCCUGCAUGUACCGUAUGAAUAAGCAUCGGCUAACUCCGUGCCAGCAGCCGCGGUAAUACGGAGGAUGCGAGCGUUAUCCGGAUUUAUUGGGUUUAAAGGGUGCGUAGGCGGCCUGUUAAGUCAGCGGUGAAAUCUAGGAGCUUAACUCCUAAAUUGCCAUUGAUACUGGCGGGCUUGAGUGUAGAUGAGGUAGGCGGAAUGCGUGGUGUAGCGGUGGAAUGCAUAGAUAUCACGCAGAACUCCGAUUGCGAAGGCAGCUUACUAAGGUACAACUGACGCUGAAGCACGAAAGCGUGGGUAUCAAACAGGAUUAGAUACCCUGGUAGUCCACGCUGUAAACGAUGAUAACUGGGCGUAUGCGAUAUACAGUAUGCUCCUAAGCGAAAGCGUUAAGUUAUCCACCUGGGGAGUACGCCGGCAACGGUGAAACUCAAAGGAAUUGACGGGGGCCCG
rnacentral:rRNA from 1 species